CGGAGUGAUGUCACCCCCCCCACCCCCGUCCUAUCUGCGUGGAGUGGCUGAGUGUCCUGGGGCGUGCGGUGGCACCGCUUCACCCUUCAGCAGCGGCGUGGUUCCUAGUGGCGGAGACGACCGUAGCAGGACGCGGUUCCUCCAUGAGAUAUUGAAGAAGGAUAAAAAGCUCCUCAAAAGUUUGGAAGGUUUAAUGUGAUCAGCAUGAAGAGCUUAAAAGCAAAAUUCAGGAAGAGUGAUACCAAUGAGUGGAAUAAGAACGAUGAUCGGCUGCUGCAGGCAGUGGAGAAUGGCAAUCCUGAGAAAGUGGCUUCAUUGCUGGGUAAAAAGGGAGCCAGUGCCACCAAACAAGAUAGUGAGGGCAAAACUGCGUAAGUCCAACUUAAACUUGUGAUUUAAGCACAAGGGAGGGUGAAAAAACAGCCUUGGAUGUACAUGCGACUUACAGGAAUUAAGAACCAGAGACCAUCCUGAAAAUGAAGUUUUCUUUUUCACCUGAAGCACAGUACGUUCUGGAAAGCUUCUUUCUGAUAGUCUACAUUUAAAAUUCCAUUUCAGAAUCACAAACCCAUUGAAGUAACUUGAAGCUGGAUUGCUGGGUAGAUUGGGGCCAUUUUAGGACAGGGCAUUUUGGGACUUGGGACUUUCAUGGCACACUGCAGACUGUGCGCUCCAAAAGGCAUUAAUCUUUGGGGCUAUUUUUUCCCAUGAACAUUAGUUUAAUGACAUGGAAAUGAAGAUAAAUGGGUUAGUUCGAACUGAAACUAUGGUGAUUGGGUUUUAAAAUCUUGCAGAUGCUAAUGAUUCGUGCAACUGUUCCUUGUUUUGAUUGAAGCUUGGCAGUGAAAGUUUUGAGUGAACGAGACUCCUUUUGCAGUCUCAAUAUAUUUCAUACAUAGCAUUUUCUUCUUCUGUUCUUCUUCUUGUUCUCCUGUGAACAUUCUGAAUUGUGGAAGAUAAAAGAUACCAGUAAGAAAAUUACAGCCAAGAGAUUGCUAUCCUUAACUUUCUUAUGGCAUAGAAAGAUGAUUAAAUGGAUAAAUGAGAAAUAGGCAUCCCGUGUGUCAUGGUAUAAGCCCAUCCAGUAACAAAGCACCACGAAGCUGCUCGCUCACUCCUCCCCCUGCCGGCCCCGG